GCCUAACCUUCUGGGAAUGUAGCCCAGUAGAUCUCAGCCUUGUUUUACCCAGCCCCUAUUCAAGAUGGAGUCACUCUGGUUCAAACACCUCUGACAAAAAUCCUUCUAAAAAUUUUUAAUAUACAAAUUGAGAUCUUCUAAUAUUUUUCUAUUACUGUGGUAUAUCACUUCUUUCCCUUUGUGCACCCUACUUAAAAUUUCAACUCACUCAGAAGAUACAGGAGCUGACUGUCGCUGUGGCUGUGCUGUAUCGGAACACUGCCUACCUUAAGGAAAGAACUUUGGAGGUCUCAGGCUUUGAAUUUUAUUUCCUGUAGUUUUUUCUCUCUGAAAUCUUAUAUAGGCUUUUCCUGAGUAAGGGUCAUUUUCACUUAGCUUUUUGAUGGUAUAAUGGACUGAAUGUUUGUGUCCCCCUUCCAAGUUCAAAUGUUGAAGGCCAAACCCUCCUUGUGGCUGUACUUGGAGAUGGGGGCCUCUUAGGAAGCAAUUAAGGUUGGAUGAGGUCCUUAGGGUGGGGCCCUGAUAGGAUUAGCGUCUGUAUAAAAAGAGACACCUGAGAGCUUCGCCCUGCUAGGAUUAGCGUCUGUAUAAAGAGAGACACCUGAGAGCUUCGCCCUGCUAGGAUUAGCGUCUGUAUAAAGAGAGACACCUGAGAGCUUCGCCCUGCUAGGAUUAGCGUCUGUAUAAAGAGAGACACCUGAGAGCUUCGCCCUGCUAGGAUUAGCGUCUGUAUAAAGAGAGACACCUGAGAGCUUCGCCUACACGCUUCCCCACUGAGGGAAGACCAUGUGACUAUACAACAGGAAGGUAGUUGUUUACAAGCCAGGAAGAGAGCCCUCACCAGAAACCAAAUUGGCUGGCGCCUUGAUCAUGGACUCCUGGGCUCCGGAACUGUAAGAAAAUUUGUGUUGUGGAAGCCACCCAGCCCAUGGUAUUUCGUUAUGGCAGCCUGAGCAGAGGUGGUAGCUAUGUGGACAGUUUUUGGACUUCUCUAUUUUGCCCUUCAUCACUCAGCAGUGAAGAAUGAAAAUCAACAGAGCUUUCCCCAGCCUGCUGCUUAAGCAGCUGCUAGCAGGCUGAGGCUGCCCAGCCUCAUUAACCCAUUAGAUGCUGCGUUCGCCCGGGAGUCAUUCUUAAUGAGGCUGCUGCAGAUGAGAAAACAGAAGCAAAGGCAGAAAGAUGCUACAUUGCCAGCUUUGAAGAUGGAGGGAAGAGGUCACAAACCAAGGAAGGCAAUGAGGACGUUGCACAAGACAGUCCCUGAUACCCAGAGUUUACUGCCUAAGAGAGGAUACAUCCUUCAAACCAAUAAUCUGCUAAUAGCAAGAUCCAAUAGCUUCAUGGAUAUUGAAAGAAACUGAGAAUCAAAUUUGCAUACUUCUGAGUCACUUGGAAACAAAAAACAAGUACAGUCUUAGAUUCUGAGGGAACAAAAAUUAAAAAUCACAUUAGGAAGAGAAUUCCUAAUGUAGGAACUCAUCCUGGAAGAUUCUUCAGCAAAAGUACAGACAAUAAUAAUAAUACUCCAUGAAGUUACCAUCGAUAUUGAAUGAAUUAAUGAAUGUAAAAACCUCAAAACCCUGCCUGGCCCAGAGCUUUGGAAUGGGUUUGGAUCUACCACUCAACUGCUUUAUGACUUCAGACCAGUUAUUUAAAUUCCCUGAAGCUCAGUUUCCACAUCUUUGAGUUUUUAUUAAUGACCUGCCGACAUCAUACAGUUCAUGAAAUGCUCUGGAUGUGUACAUGCUGAUGAUACGACCUCAGACCCAGCAAGAGCUCAGUGCAGCCCGGAGAGCUGUGAGCAGUGCCACAGGAGGAGAUGACUGGUGAGUGAAAUAAGCAAGAUAGGAGUUGAAGUGUACAUGAAGCAGAGUCCAAGCCUUCUCCUUCUGGAUGUUCAGCUGGAUCAUCCUGACUGCUCCCACUUUCAUCUUGGCUUUCAAAGGCAAGAGGAAAUUAUAAGGAAUAUUCUGAGUGGCUUUCAUCCAGGAGUUCUGUGGGACCCGCAACACCUGGAUGGUAGAUGCAAACAGAUAAAGAAUAUUGGUCACCAAAAGGAGUUCUUUUCAUCAUAGAUCUCUGAAGGUAGACACCUAUUUGCAGACUUCUCAAAGGGCUAUAUGGAUGUGCUCUACUUGUUGGAGGAUUGUCCAUCCACUCUUCUUCCUGUACUUACCAGGACAGAACAGCCGCAACUUCUCAGACAGUUCAUUCUUCUUUUCCUCACCUACUACCAUCUAAGAAAGGUACUUGAUGACUGUGGCUUUAGACAAGAGUCCUUUUCUUACCACAGGGUGGGCAGCACCAGCUCAUUAGAACCAUUUGUGUGACUGACUGAAGACAGCUCACCUUGGAACACUGCAGAAUAUGGCGUAAGUGACAUUUUACAAGUUCCAGAGCCUGGGACUCAAGAUGUCUUGGAGAUUCUGUCUUUGCAGUCUUAUAAUGAUGCCCUGAGAUCAUCAUUAAAGAAAGCCAGUCUGGCCUACUGAGGAUGAGAAGCUACAUAAAGGAGAAUGAAGAUUCCCCAGCCAACAGGCAAUAUCAGUGGUCAGAUAUGUGAAUAAAGCCAUGUUGAACCUCUCGGCUAGACGACCCUCCAGCAUAUGAAACCAGCAGAUGAAUAUCCCAGCCUGCCUGAAGAACUGUACAGGAAAUAAGAAAUCAUUGUUUUUUAAGCCACUGGGUUGGUGGGUGGUUUGUUACAUUGAAAUUGUUAACUAAAACAGAAAUUGGUGCAUAGAGGUCAGGUGCUGUCAUAAUAAAAAUCUAAAACAUAUACUGUUGGCUUUGGUGAUGGGAGUGAUUGGUAGCUAAAGAGGCAGUGAAACAAUGAUUAGUAGAUACUGGGAAGUUAAUAAGGAAAUUUCUAUUGGAGGGUGGAGAAAGGGCCACCCUUGUUAUAUAGUGGCCAAAGAAUCAGCAAAAUGUUGCCUGCUGCAACCUGGAAAGUAGAAACUUUUCUUAAACUCACGGAUCUGGCUGGGAGAUUUCCAGGAUGCAUGCAACAAAUGUGAAUCAACUUUGUAUAGCUGUGUAUAAUAAAGUGUGCUGUAUUUGUCCAUUCUGAUGCUGCUAAUAAAGACAUACCUGAGACUGAAU
rnacentral:lncRNA from 10 species